rnacentral:rRNA from 1 species
UACGAAGGGGGCUAGCGUUGUUCGGAAUUACUGGGCGUAAAGCGCGCGCAGGCGGCCAUUCAAGUCAGGGGUGAAAGCCCAGAGCUCAACUCUGGAACUGCCCUUGAAACUGUAUGGCUUGAGUAUGAGAGAGGUGAGUGGAAUUCCCAGUGUAGAGGUGAAAUCCGUAAAUAUUGGGAAGAACACCGGUGGCGAAGGCGGCUCACUGGCUCAUUACUGACGCUCAGGCGCGACAGCGUGGGGAUCAAACCAGG